UACGUCAUCAACAGGUGCGCGCAACACUUCCCGAUGCGGCUUUUUUGUGUCAAAACAUCUCGAUUCGGUGAGUAAACUUGCGAUUAUUACAUUGAUAACUAAUAGAUUCGGAAAUGACAUAUAGUCGAAAGUACCCGCACAUGCGUCUAGUUUAUCAUUUACGUUUGCAUUUUUCAAGAAAGCCUUCCGUUUAAGAGAACAUUCGUGCACAAUGCACUUCAUGGAAACACUUCCCUAUUCACCACACCAUAUUAUAUCGCAUAUCAAGAGUUUACAUGCAUUUCUGAUAAAUCCAAGCAUUGACGGGUGUUCUUUUAUGGUAAACAGAUGUCAGUGAUACCUUGAUUACUCAUUGGAAUCUAAACUUUCCGAAAAAUCAGUAAACUAAAAUUUCGCCUUCCCGAUUCACCAACUGAAUUGAUGUCCUUCCCGGCUCACCAAUUUCCAGCAUGACUAACAUCGGGCUGGUGCUCAUGUAAAUGUGAUCACACUUGCCUGGAAGUUCUAUUAAUUCGAAUAACUAAUUGUUAGAGUGCUUGCACUAGAUGGUCUGUAAACUUCAUUUAAGCAUUUGAAGAUAAUAUUGAAAGAACGAGGCAUAUCUUGAACAUAUGUUGUAUACUAUAAACAUGCAUAUGUAUGAUAUAAUUAUGUUCUAUCAUGUCCUUAUAUUUGUUAUGUUAGAUACAUGAAAGAUGAAAAAGGAAACAAAACUUCUAGUCUGCAUUAAUGGAAUUGUCAAUAUAUGUUAAAAAGGAUUGCUGAAUGAUCGGCAUGCAAGACAUUAUUGACAUAUUAUAUUUUCCAAAAGCUGUACGACAUAAUAUUUGAGAAGUGGAGAACAUCCCCUAACGGAAUUACCCCAGACAAGGAUUUCAACGCUCAACUAGGUCUCCGUACCAAACUUUGUCACGACUAUGUCGGUUGCUGUUUGAAGGGCCACGUGAUCAUCACAAUUGCUCGGGAAAAAAUGAGAAAUUACUGUAUCGCGCCAACGAAAUGUUCUUAUCAAGGAGUUUUAGAUGUGCGCAGGGAAAGACCAAGAGUGACUACAACCGAAUUAUAAUUACCACGUAGUAGAACGGGACAUUGAAUCUACACUAGAAAGCGGUUGAGGAUUUAACAUUUUACUAAUGUUCAGAUUUUGCUUGCAAAUCUUAGUGCACCCAAUUACAUGUUAAAACUCGAAGUGAGCUUGAACAGUGGUAGAACAAUUUUACUUGCAAUGUAAAUUACUUUGCUUUUCUUAAACUGUUUAGUUGUUGAAAAUGUUGUUGUAUAAAAGAUUAUUUAAAAUAGGAAAUUUUACUGAUUUUUUAUUUAAA